rnacentral:rRNA from 1 species
AGGACGAACGCUGGCGGCGUGCCUAACACAUGCAAGUCGAACGAGGUCCAACCGGUGGCAACACUGGUGAAGACCGAGUGGCGAACGGGUGAGUAACACGUGAGCAACCUGCCUCGAAGACUGGGAUAACCCCGGGAAACCGGAGCUAAUACCGGAUACCCCCACCGGGUCGCAUGGCCUGGUGAGGAAAUGGAUUCCGCUUUGAGAGGGGCUCGCGGCCUAUCAGCUUGAUGGUGGGGUAAUGGCCUACCAUGGCACCGACGGGUAGCUGGUCUGAGAGGACGAUCAGCCACACUGGGACUGAGACACGGCCCAGACUCCUACGGGAGGCAGCAGUGGGGAAUCUUGCGCAAUGGGCGAAAGCCUGACGCAGCAACGCCGCGUGUGGGACGAAGGCCUUCUGGGUUGUAAACCACUUUCAGCAGGGACGAUUGUGACGGUACCUGCAGAAGAGCCCGGCAACUACGUGCCAGCAGCCGC